GGCCCCGGUUAACCCUCUAGGGCGCUCUGCCAGCCCCGCACCCCUCCAACCUUCCAUCCCCCGCCUCGCGCGCGUGGGGAUCCACGUGGCUGUCACUUUUGGAGCCGUGCUGGGGGACCUGGACGAUAACUGAGGCCCGAGUCGGAGCGCUGGAGGUCCAGCCGAGAGGGCUUGGCGCAGUCCGCCCGUUAUCUCCGGACGCGCUCAUCCCCCUGCGCUGGCCGUGGUCCCCGCUGUUACCUCUGCAGCAGCCUCUUCUUCCUGCAGUGAGGUUCUUCCUCUCAGCCUCCCUGAGAGCUGGGCCGGCGGCCGCGGCUUUCCCUGCGCAGAGGACCUGAGCAGGCUGUUGGGACAUUGCCAAGCCGACCAAAGAGACGUGACUGCCUCAAAGACCGCCGGCGCAGGGUGGCCCUGGGAAGGAGGGACACAGGCAAAGGGUGUAAAGUACGGACUAACUUCCCUACAAAGCGGAUAUUCAAAAUGAACAACUGCCUUCAGAGAAAGCAGAAAGCCACUAAAGCAGAUGCUUGAAAUCUUUGCUGGAGGCCUUGUAAAAAGUUAUGCACUUGUCUUAGUUCUUUUGAGGAAUCUGGAGGUAAAGAACACAAAGCGAAAGAGACAAGAGACAGUGACAGACUGAACCAUUGGAGAAUAUAGCCCAGAGGUGGGAUGAGAGAAGGCCUCACUGGGCUGUGCUGGGCUGUCUAGGCUGCAACUAGCUUCCCUGCCCCAGCCCAUAAAGCUGCAACAAGACUGAUUAGAAAUGAUACAAUUAGACUCAGGUGAUUAGUUCAAGUAGAAGCAAAGUUCAUCAGUCUUAAAUCUCCAAAUCUGCUCCAUAUCUGUUCUCAGCUGAUAUCCCUGGGCUAGCCUCUGUGUCUUCUUGUCCUCUCUGAUCUGUGCCAGUGGAGGAGACAUGGAACUUUUGCGACAAGUUGAACAACAGUGAUCCUCAGUAAUGAGGUUUCACAGGCCAGCCUGGGCAGAUCCAGUUGGAUGUGGAUUUGAGUCUUAGCCACACUCUUUCCUUCUGCAAUGCCAGGUACAUACCCCCACAAAUCUGGAAGCUGGAGUUUCAAGUUCAUGGUUGUGAUCUAGACAUUAGCAACUUAGAAGGCUCCAGCACAACUUUUGCUCCAAGUCUGCUUUGGCCACCGGAUGAAGAAUCCGGCUCCUCCCAGAAGAAGCUCCUCACCAUGGCUCCCAUGAGGAUUUUAUGGCCGGUUGCACAAGAGAGACAAAGGGCGUCUUUAAAUUACACAAUCCCCAGCAUACAGCCUUGGUCCCAUUGGUUGAUUUUUCUAUUUUCCCCAUGGUUCUCCUUGAUUGCUUUGCCUCUGGGACUUUUCCCCUUUGACCCAGCCUUUUGGAGCUUCUUAAUUCUUCCUGUUCUUGUCCUUCUUGAUUAAAAGAGUAAAAGAGAGAGAAACUGGAUCCAGAGAAUGAAGAUUGAGAAUCACUUUUAUUUUCUGUAAGAUGGAGAUGAUAAUUCCUAUCUCAGAAG
rnacentral:lncRNA from 1 species